rnacentral:rRNA from 1 species
GACAGAGGGUGCAAACGUUGUUCGGAAUUACUGGGCGUAAAGAGCGCGCAGGCGGCUUGGCAAGUCGGGUGUGAAAUCCCGGGGCUCAACCCCGUGACUGCAUCCGAUACUGUCAGGCUAGAGGUAGGUAGGGGAGAUCGGAAUUCCUGGUGUAGCGGUGAAAUGCGCAGAUAUCAGGAGGAACACCGGUGGCGAAGGCGGAUCUCUGGGCCUUACCUGACGCUCAGGCGCGAAAGCUAGGGGAGCGAACAGG